rnacentral:tRNA from 2 species
CGGAAAUAGUUCAGAGGUAGAACAUCACCUUGCCAUGGUGGGGGUCGCGGGUUCGAAUCCCGUUUUCCG